CUUUUCAACUCCAUGUGUGGGGAGAUAAGGAACACAGUGACACAGCAGGCCCAAGUGGGGUUGGAGGGGACGAGGUUGAGUGACACCCUGGGCAUGACUAGAUGUCAGUUGAGUCAGCCCAAGCCAGGAAUAUCUCCCGCCUUCGCUUCUUGGUGUGUAACAGCGCUGUGCUCUUCUGUGACUUCUUCUCUGCCUGCUGAUUACUAUGGACCCUCCUGAUGCAACAAAAGGUCAGAACGAUGACAUCCCCACCGUGGUGAUUGUCAGCAGCAUAUUUACUCUGCUGGCUCUGGUAGCCACAACUAUUUGGUUGUGCAGGCAGCUGGUGGGAGCCUAUGGCAGAGCUUGGCAAACUGAGCAGAAAGAGAUGGAGUCUAUCCAGCCUGUGUCAGAAAGGCCUUCUAAAAGCACGCCAGUAAAGAAAGAAGAAGCCCAACCAGAGGAAGAUGAAACAGAGGAUGUGCUUGAUGGAGAAACUGACAGUUGAAAGGGUUGUGUGGUUCUCAGUUAAUGCCACCAUCUGUUCUAGUGAUUUACAGACUUUUUACAGAACUAAAGAAUUUACAGAACUAAAGAAUGUCAUGUUUGUAUUUGUAUUUCAGUUCCUUUAUGAAGUAUGCCACUGGUUAUAUUUUUUCACUGAAAUGUUUAGAAAUACGUGUGCUGUAACAAAACAAAAACAAAAACAAAAAAAUAAAAGAAGGAUUUAAUUUUAUCAAAGAUACUUGAUUUCACAUGGCACAGUCACUUACUGUACUUGAGUUUGAAGUGGUCCUUGAUGGUGAAUGUUGAUACAUUUAUCCAUGUUCAGUGUUCUAUCUCUAGGUUGAGGGAUUGUAACCUGUUCUUAGAAAAGAAAGGGGGAUUAUUCUCUCAAUCCUCUGUCUCAAAGGGUUAACUACUUCUGAUGAAUUGCGCUUCAAUAAAGUGUAUUCUCUUUAAAUGGAUUCUGAUGGCUCUGAAAAGACCAUGCCAGUUUUCAAUUGUAAAUUCAAUUAUGGCUUUCCAAUAUUUUCUUAAUUCUUUACAAUUAUGCUUUUGCUCUUCCUGCUGGGAGCAGCCAGAACUGGGGUCAAAUGAAACAGGCCCUAAUACCCUCCAUCACCGGGCAACCCUCGUUAUUAGAGAUGACCAGCACCUCAGAAAACUGUCAAAUCAUGGUGGUCCACCCCUCAUUAUAUCCCUUUGACACACUGUUUGUUGUUUACACACACAUUUUGCAUGGCAUGUCGAAAAAAUAUAAAUGCACAGCAACUACAUACCACAUUGACGAAUAUAGUUUUAUUCUUGAUAAUGAUUUCAACUCCUCCUCACACUGCAUGUCCAAUACAGUAGCUAUUACAAUUGUAAAAUCACUGACUAUUAUUUUAUGUACCGGUAUAAUAUCUAUAUGUGAAAAGAAACAUUUAUUAAUGUUUAAGAGAUAAAAAUAACAUUUAUUGGUGUAGGUUGGGUUACUUGUUGCAUAAAGUUUGCUCCAAUCGAAAAAUACAAAUGAUGAAUAAUUAAAAGAACACUGAACAUGGAAGACAUUGAUUUUGUGCAAUGUUGAAAAUAACCCAGUUUAUCUGGUUUCGCUCUCUGCCGGUCUAGCUUUGUUGUUCCCUGUGUCUGCUGCUUGACAGAUUA